GAUGAACGCUGGCGGCGUGCCUAAUACAUGCAAGUCGAGCGAACAGACGAGGAGCUUGCUCCUCUGACGUUAGCGGCGGACGGGUGAGUAACACGUGGAUAACCUACCUAUAAGACUGGGAUAACUUCGGGAAACCGGAGCUAAUACCGGAUAAUAUAUUGAACCGCAUGGUUCAAUAGUGAAAGACGGUUUUGCUGUCACUUAUAGAUGGAUCCGCGCCGCAUUAGCUAGUUGGUAAGGUAACGGCUUACCAAGGCAACGAUGCGUAGCCGACCUGAGAGGGUGAUCGGCCACACUGGAACUGAGACACGGUCCAGACUCCUACGGGAGGCAGCAGUAGGGAAUCUUCCGCAAUGGGCGAAGGCCUGACGGAGCAACGCCGCGUGAGUGAUGAAGGUCUUCGGAUCGUAAAACUCUGUUAUUAGGGAAGAACAAAUGUGUAAGUAACUAUGCACGUCUCGACGGUACCUAAUCAGAAAGCCACGGCUAACUACGUG
rnacentral:rRNA from 1 species